CCCUGGAACUCAUCUUAGGAUUCACAUUGCAUUCUUCAUAAUAAGCUAAAAGACAUUAAGGCCCACAUCAUAUUGCUUUCCCACAGCAUUCAAUUUUGCUUUUCAAACCACGGCUGUUAAGAUUUAGUUUUCAUUUCCUUUACACAUGGCUCCCUUCCUGUUCUAACUGAAUGCAACCAAGAAGCUCUGGCACGUCUGAGCCAAGUUUCCUUAAUAUGCAACAGGACGGCGCCACCGUCAUGCACACAAUGAUGCACCCAAGUUCACAAUUCAGAAGCCUUCCAUUCGUCUGCUCAUUCCUUUUGGAGACUUAUAUGCGUCUUAACAAUUUAAGAGGAAA
rnacentral:lncRNA from 1 species